AACGAACGCUGGCGGCAUGCCUAACACAUGCAAGUCGAACGAGACCUUCGGGUCUGGUGGCGCACGGGUGCGUAGCGCGUGGGAACCUGCCCUUAGGUUCGGAAUAACUCCCCGAAAGGGGUGCUAAUGCCGGAUAAUGUCUUCGGACCAAAGAUUUAUCGCCUUUGGAUGGGCCCGCGUUGCAUUAGCUAGUUGGUAGGGUAAAAGCCUACCAAGGCGACGAUCCAUAGCUGGUCUGAGAGGAUGAUCAGCCACACUGGGACUGAGACACGGCCGAGACUACUACGGGAGGCAGCAGUGGGGAAUAUAGGAAAAUGGGCGAAAGCCUGAUCCAGCAAUGCCGCGUGAGUGAUGAAGGCCGGAGGGUUGUAAAGCUCGUUUAUCCGGGAUGAUAAUGACAGUACCGGGAGAAUAAGCACCGGCUAACUCCGUG
rnacentral:rRNA from 1 species